AGUAAAAGCAUGUGAACAAAGAAUGACCUUGACUAGGGGAGUCAGUGACAGUUCUGUGCUGUGAGUUGACGGAAAUCAGUUUCCCACGUGAGGUGGUGGCCGGAUGUCUGUGCUGCUCCUGGUGGAACAGAAGCGCUCGUGUCUGCUUCGUGUCACUAGCAGGCACUUUCUUAUGGAGGGAGAAGCAACACGGGGCCGGCUGGGGUGUCAGAUGAUGGGAUGUCUUCCCGAAGGCCCUCGUCUCACGUGAGACAUGUGCAGUGGGUCACGUGCUGACGUCCUGGCCGGCGUGGACAGCCGAACCCUUAGGUGAAUGGGGAG